GAGUUUGAUCCUGGCUCAGGACGAACGCUGGCGGCGUGCUUAACACAUGCAAGUCGAACGGAAAGGCCCUGCUUGCAGGGUACUCGAGUGGCGAACGGGUGAGUAACACGUGGGUGAUCUGCCCUGCACUUCGGGAUAAGCCUGGGAAACUGGGUCUAAUACCGGAUAGGACCAUCGUUUAGUGUCGGUGGUGGAAAGUUUUUCGGUGCAGGAUGAGCUCGCGGCCUAUCAGCUUGUUGGUGGGGUAAUGGCCUACCAAGGCGUCGACGGGUAGCCGGCCUGAGAGGGUGGACGGCCACAUUGGGACUGAGACACGGCCCAGACUCCUACGGGAGGCAGCAGUGGGGAAUAUUGCACAAUGGGCGCAAGCCUGAUGCAGCGACGCCGCGUGGGGGAUGAAGGCCUUCGGGUUGUAAACUCCUUUCAACCAUGACGAAGCAUUAUGUGACGGUAGUGAGAAGAGCC
rnacentral:rRNA from 1 species